rnacentral:rRNA from 1 species
UACGUAGGGACCAAGCGUUGUUCGGAUUUACUGGGCGUAAAGGGCGCGUAGGCGGCGUGGUAAGUCACUUGUGAAAUCUCUGAGCUUAACUCAGAACGGCCAAGUGAUACUGCUGUGCUAGAGUGCAGAAGGGGCAAUCGGAAUUCUUGGUGUAGCGGUGAAAUGCGUAGAUAUCAAGAGGAACACCUGAGGUGAAGACGGGUUGCUGGGCUGACACUGACGCUGAGGCGCGAAAAGUCAGGGGGAGCAAAACAGG